AUGGCGUCCUCUCCGCUGCUCGUGGCGCUUGUGAUGGUCUCGGCGUGCUUCCUGGCCGUAUCCGGCCAGAAGUUCAACGCCAUCUACAGCUUCGGCGACUCCAUGUCCGACACCGGCAACCUCUGCGUCAACGGCCCCCCCGCCGGCCUCACCCUCACCCAGCCCCCCUACGGCGAGACCUUCUUCGGCCGCGCCACCUGCCGCUGCUCCGACGGCCGCCUCGUCGUCGACUUCCUCGCCGAGAAGUUCGGGCUGCCGCUGCUGAAGCCGUCGAAGCAGGGCGGCGCGAACUUCAAGCAGGGCGCCAACAUGGCCAUCAUCGGCGCCACCGCCAUGGGCUCCAGCUUCUUCCAGUCACUCGGCGUCGGCGACAAGAUCUGGAACAACGGGCCCCUCGACAGCCAGAUCCAGUGGUUCCAGAACCUCCUCCCCUCCGUCUGCGGCUCAUCGUGCAAGACGUACCUGUCCAAGUCCCUGUUCGUGCUGGGCGAGCUGGGCGGGAACGACUACAACGCGCAGCUCUUCGGCGGCUACACGCCGGAGCAGGCGGCCGGGCAGAGCCCCACCAUCGUGGACGCCAUCGGCGCCGGCGCCGAGAAGCUCAUCGGGCUGGGCGCCAUGUACGUCGUUAUCCCCGGGGUGCUCCCCGUCGGCUGCUUCCCCAUCUACCUCACGCUCUACCAGACCUCCAACGCCGGCGACUACGACCAGUACGGCUGCCUCAAGCGGUUCAACGCGCUGUCGGCCCGACACAACUCGCUGCUCCAGAGCAAGGUGAGCAGCCUGCAGAGCAAGUACCCCUACGCCAAGAUCAUGUACGCCGACUUCUACUCCCACGUCUUCGACAUGGUCAAGAGCCCCACCAGCUACGGGUUCAGCACGAACCUGAGGGCGUGCUGCGGCGCCGGCGGCGGCAAGUACAACUACCAGAACGGCGCCAGGUGCGGCAUGUCCGGCGCGUCGGCGUGCGGCAACCCGUCGUCGUCGCUGAGCUGGGACGGGAUCCACCUGACGGAGGCGGCCUACAAGAAGAUCGCCGACGGCUGGGUCAACGGGCCCUACUGCCACCCGGCCAUCCUCUCCUAG
rnacentral:rRNA from 1 species